AACGAACGCUGGCGGCGUGGAUAAGACAUGCAAGUCGAACGGGACAGACCGAGUAGCAAUAUUUGGAAUGUUCAGUGGCGAACGGGUGCGUAACACGUGGAUAACAUUCCGGAAAGCGGGGAAUAGCCCAGGGAAACUUGGAUUAAUACCGCAUGUGGCCGCAAGGCUAAAGACGGGGACCGCACGGCCUGUCACUUUCCGAUUGGUCCGCGGCCUAUCAGCUAGUUGGCGGGGUAAUGGCCCACCAAGGCGACGACGGGUAGCUGGUCUUAGAGGACGACCAGCCACACUGGAACUGGGACACGGACCAGACACCUACGGGUGGCAGCAGUCGGGAAUCCUUCACAAUGGGGGCAACCCUGAUGGAGCGACGCCGCGUGGAGGAUAAGGUCUUCGGAUUGUAAACUCCUGUCAUGCGAGAACAAGGUACUCAGGCUAAUAACCUGAUUGUUUGAUGGUACCGCAAGAGGAAGAGACGGCUAACUCUGUGCCAGCCGCCGCGGUAAAAC
rnacentral:rRNA from 1 species